AUUGAACGCUGGCGGCAUGCUUUACACAUGCAAGCCGAACGGCAGCACGGGCUUCGGCCUGGUGGCGAGUGGCGAACGGGUGAGUAAUGCAUCGGAACGUACCGUGUAGUGGGGGAUAACGUAGCGAAAGUUACGCUAAUACCGCAUACGCCCCGAGGGGGAAAGUGGGGGACCGCAAGGCCUCACGCUAUAUGAGCGGCCGAUGUCGGAUUAGCUAGUUGGUAGGGUAAAGGCCUACCAAGGCGACGAUCCGUAGCGGGUCUGAGAGGAUGAUCCGCCACACUGGGACUGAGACACGGCCCAGACUCCUACGGGAGGCAGCAGUGGGGAAUUUUGGACAAUGGGCGCAAGCCUGAUCCAGCCAUGCCGCGUGAGUGAAGAAGGCCUUCGGGUUGUAAAGCUCUUUCAGACGGAAAGAAAUCUCCCAGGAUAAUACCUUGGGAGGAUGACGGUACCGUAAGAAGAAGCACCGGCUAACUACGUGCCAGCCGCCGCAGUAACAC
rnacentral:rRNA from 1 species